GACGAACGCUGGCGGCGUGCUUAACACAUGCAAGUCGAACGGAAAGGCCCUGCUUUUGUGGGGUUCUCGAGUGGCGAACGGUUGAGUAACACGUGAGUAACCUGCCCUUGACUUUGGGAUAUCUUCAGGAAACUGGGGCUAAUACCGGAUAGGAGCUCCUGCUGCAUGGUGGGGGUUGGAAAUUUUCUGCGGUUGGGGAUGGACUCGCGGCUCAUCAGGUUGGUGGUCGGGUAGUGGCCUACCAAGGCUCUGACGGGCAGCCGGCCUGAGACGGUCGACGGCUACAUUGGGACUGGGAUACGGCCCAGCCUCGUACGGGCGGCAGCAGUGAGGAGUAUUGCACAAUGGGCGGCCGCCAGAGGUCGGCCCGCAGCGUGAGGGGUGAGGGUCAUCGGGUCGCAGAGGGCUUUCGCAUGUGACGAAACGUGAGUGCCGGUAAUGGGUAAAGACGGACCGGCUAACUACGUG
rnacentral:rRNA from 1 species